ensembl:piRNA 21ur-686 ncRNA
UAUGAGGAACAUUAUCAUAAC